rnacentral:rRNA from 1 species
AGAUUGAACGCUGGCGGCAUGCCUUACACAUGCAAGUCGAACGGCAGCGCGGGGCAACCUGGCGGCGAGUGGCGAACGGGUGAGUAAUAUAUCGGAACGUACCCUGGAGUGGGGGAUAACGCAGCGAAAGUUGCGCUAAUACCGCAUACGAUCUAAGGAUGAAAGCAGGGGACCGCAAGGCCUUGUGCUCCUGGAGCGGCCGAUAUCUGAUUAGCUAGGUUGGUGGGGUAAAGGCCUACCAAGGCAUCGAUCAGUAGCUGGUCUGAGAGGACGACCAGCCACACUGGAACUGAGACACGGUCCAGACUCCUACGGGAGCAGCGAGGUGGGAAUUUGGACAAGUGGGACGAAAGCCUGAUCCAGACAAUGCCGCGUGGAGUAGGAAGAACGGUCCGUUACGGUUAGGUAAACGAC